UAUCAACCAUCAAAAUAUAUAAAACCAAAUCAUUACGAUAUCAAGUUUAUAUCAUGUAUUAAAGAAAACAUUUUCUAUGGAGAAUACAAUAUCAGCAUAAGCAUUCUUAAUAAAACGCAAAAUAUAUUAAUCAACAACAUACAUUCAGAAAAAUUAUAUUUUGAAAAUAUAAUUUUAAUUAAAAAUCUAGAAAAACAUCAUGAGAAUAUUAAGUAUACAGUUUAUAAACCGACAUAUGAUAUUCAAGAAGACAUAAUUGACCUUUAUUUUAAGGAUAAGUUAUUACCAGGAAAUUACACUUUAUAUAUUACAUAUUUUGGUUUUACUGAUGAAGUCUUUAGAAUUUUCGAUGUGAAAAAAAAAUUGCUUUGGUAGCUGCUACUCAUUUCCAUAUAAUAGGCGCUCGACAAUUGUCUUCAUGUUGGAGUCAACAAAAUUUAUUGUUAGAAGCAACUUUUAACAUAUCUAUAGGAUGUAAUCAAUGCACGGCUUUGUCAAAUAUGCCAUUGCAAAAUACAGAAAAA